UACGAGGGGGGCAAGCGUUGUUCGGAAUUAUUGGGCGUAAAGGGUGCGUAGGCGGUUUGGUAAGUCUUAUGUGAAAUCUACAGGCUCAACUUGUAGUCUGCAUGAGAAACUGCCGGGCUUGAGUAUGGGAGAGGUGAGUGGAAUUCCUGGUGUAGCGGUGAAAUGCGUAGAUAUCAGGAGGAACACCAGUGGCGAAGGCGGCCCGCUGGGCAGUGGCUGACGCUGAGGCGCGACAGCGUGGGGAGCAAACAGG
rnacentral:rRNA from 1 species